AUUGAACGCUGGCGGCAUGCCUUACACAUGCAAGUCGAACGGCAGCAUGGAAGAGCUUGCUCUUCUGAUGGCGAGUGGCGAACGGGUGAGUAAAGCAUCGGAACGUACCGUGUAGUGGGGGAUAACGUAGCGAAAGUUACGCUAAUACCGCAUACGCACUGAGGUGGAAAGCAGGGGAUCGCAAGACCUUGCGCUAUACGAGCGGCCGAUGUCAGAUUAGCUAGUUGGUAGGGUAAAGGCCUACCAAGGCGACGAUCUGUAGCGGGUCUGAGAGGACGACCAGCCACACUGGGACUGAGACACGGCCCAGACUCCUACGGGAGGCAGCAGUGGGGAAUUUUGGACAAUGGGCGCAAGCCUGAUCCAGCAAUGCCGCGUGCAGGAAGAAGGCC
rnacentral:rRNA from 1 species